UUUCAUUUCUUCUUGGUGGUUGUGUGCAUGCGGUGGGAUGGGGAGAGUGCGUGUGUGCGCUGUGGGCAGGGUCGACUUCUUCCGAGUGUGGUCUUCUCGGUGAUAGGUUGUGUGUCCAAGUAUGCUCGUGUCUGCGCUGGUUGGUGUGUAGAUUUGGAUUCUUCAGGGCCCUGCUGCCUUUUCUUCGUUGUAUAUAUUUAUGCUCGUUUGCCUCUCGACUUGUGUGUUGGGUUGCGUGGCCGUUGCGAUUGUGUUUGGGGGGUUUCGUUGUUGCAUCGGGCCGUGCGAGCCUUACUACGUUGGGUUGUGCGGUCACGAGAGAUUGCGUUUCACCGAUUUCGUUGUGUCGUGCUGGACAAUGUUUGGAGCUGAGAGAGUCGGCCUGCGGGGCAGUGUUGCGUUGUGCCUGCUUAGCUUCCCUUCUAUGCGACUGGACAGCGUGUGGCCCAGUCCACACCGGGUUGUGUGCCUGUGUGCUUGUGUCCUUUGGACGCGCGUUUGUAAAUCGCUGGGGGCUGGAGGGGAGGGCAAGCGAGAGAGAGAUGGAGGCGCAAGUUAAGGAGGCGGCAUGGGGGCGGGGAGAGGGAUUUCACGUUUUAUUCUAAAUUAUGAUGUAUUCGGAGGCCAGCGUCGGCUUGGGUAGGCAGACGGAGCCCGGAUGGGCGGCCGGCUGCUCCGUCCGGAGGCCAGUCUGUGCCUCGGUGGUGUUGGAUGAGUUUGUUAGUGAGCGGGAGGUGCUUCCAGGCUGGAAGCGGAGCAGCGCUUGCGGAGACCCGCGCCUUCACGCCGGGGGUAGCCGCCGGCUUCGGUUCCGCGGCACUGAGGCUUUGUCCAUCUCUGGUCAGUUUCGCGGGUAGGGCCUCGGGGGUCUGCGGGAGAGGCCCGGAAAAGACAAUGGGCGCAUACUCCAGGCCUCGCGCCUCGGGUGGGGACCCUCGGGAUCAUCUCCAAGGAACAUUUUUCCACCCCUUCCCUGGGUGAGCGACAUCCCCGCGUGGGGCUGGUACCCAUCGCAUCGAUGACUGGGGCCGGGCUUCAUGGCGGGGCGGGAUCAGUGUUGCCCUAGCUGCGGACGGGAUUUUGUUUUGCUAGUUUUGGGGGUUGCUAAUGUCAUCAUCAUCAUAUUUUAAUUAAAAUAAUCGUCCAGGAGCCAAACAGCUUGUCUCUUUUAGCUUCUUUGGAGUGAUAAAGCAAUACCGGUUUCCUCCCACUAGAGCUGUGUUUUAAGUUGCUGGGUUUGGGGGAGGGAGAGAAAAUGGGGGGGGACACAGAGACUCUGUCCUAAAGCAGAAAUUAACCAGGCAGGGGGUAGAUUCCCCUUGUUCCCAUUCCCCGCCCCAUUUGGAUUGGAAGAGGAGAAGGAAAAUCUCUGGCAUUGGAUUGAAACUGAAGGGAAGAAAUUAUUACUGUAUUUCCACUAAAGCCAGGGCAAAAAGAAGGCGGACCUUGUAAUUAAUCUAAGACUUCGAUGUGUGACCAUAAAUGAGAAGAUUUGGGCAAAACAAAUUAAACAAAACCCCCCCAGAGGGGAAAUCGAAAGCCAGCCUAAAUCUCACUAGGCUACAUCCUAGGAAGCCGUAUUGGAUUCAUUUUUACCCCCUUCCUUUCCUUGGUUAUUGCUGCAAGGAAUUACUAGAAUUCUCCCCUACUCUGCUGAUCUGGAUACAUAGUGAAAAAUCGAAACUCCUGUGUAGAGAUGGUUGAGGAAAAGGCGAGGGCUUUUCUUUCUUUUCCUUUUCUCUUCCUCCUCCUCCUUUUGUGUGUGUGUGUGUGUGUGUGUUCCUCUUAAUCAGUAGGAAGAAGAAAAGGGACCCGGAUACAUCAGAUAUCCCCCACCUCCCCCAAUUCUCUCAGAUCUGCGCCUUUCAAAUUGUAUCCCUUCGGGAAAGUAGCCUUUGGAAUUGGGUUCCGGUUUCGUUUUGGGCUGGAGAUGGGCAAGUGGGGGUCGUGGAGAGAAUGAGGACCUCCGGAGGUUCCGUCCCACCCAGCAGGGUCUGAAGACUGGAUUCCCUUUUUCCGACACACGGUCCCCUACCCACCCAGGCCAGGCUGCUCAGGACUCCGCGCUGUGGCUGCAGCUCCAGCCCGACUCGGAUUCCGGGCCAAAGGCAUAGACAAGUCAGUGCUGAGAAAACAAAUGGCCACACUGAACCAGACAUCCCUGUUGGAGGGUCCGAUAGUGUUCCCGGCAGCCGGCAGCGGGGCUGUUGUUGUUGGACUAAAUAGUUAUUCCUGAUUGGUCAGGUGUAGGGUUCUUUUUAUGGGGGUUCAGGGGAGGCUUCAGACACCUGCAGGUUGGGGGCGGAAAGCUGCUGGCGGCUCCCUGGGCUGGUUGGUGAGGACAUGAGGUAAUUCCCAGCCAUUGACCCCCAUUUCUCUCUCUCCCUCCCUCUCGCCCUCCCUCUUUCUCUCCACCCCCAUCUUUCCUGGAAACUGGCUCUGGGCGCGGCAGACCGCCCAGGACCACACCGCGGCCUAACUGUCGGUCUCUCGGUGAGAGAGGGGGGGAAGGCAGAGACCCCUGUGCACUCCCGGACCUCGGCUCCCGCCCCUCUCCCGUGGAAGGAGUGGAGAUCCUAUUCAGAGGGGCCGGUCUCUCUAAAUAUGCCCCAGGAUGACGGAGCAGCCGCCCAGCGAGGCGGCACGCAGUGACCCCCCGCUCGAGGGACGGGACGCGGCCGAGGCCCGCAUGGCCCCCCCGCACCUGGUCCUGCUGAACGGCGUCGCCAAGGAGACGGGCCGCGCGGCCCCCGCGGAGCCCCCGGUCAUCGAGCUGGGCGCGCGCGGCGGCCCGGGGGGCGGCCCUGCCGGCGGGGGCGGCGCCGCGCGGGACUUAAAGGGCCGCGACGCGGCGGCGGCGGCGGCCGAAGCGCGCCAUCGGGUGCCCACCACCGAGCUGUGCCGACCUCCGGGGCCCGCGCCCGCGCCCGCCUCGGCCCCCGCGGAGCUGCCGGGCGAAGGCCGCAUGGUGCAGCUGAGCCCGCCGGCGCUGGCGGCCCCCGCCGCCCCCGGCCGCGCGCUGCUCUACAGCCUCAGCCAGCCGCUCGCCUCCCUCGGCAGUGGGUUCUUUGGGGAGCCAGAUGCCUUCCCUAUGUUCGCCACCAACAACCGAGUGAAGAGGAGACCCUCCCCUUAUGAGAUGGAGAUUACUGACGGUCCCCACACCAAAGUUGUGCGACGCAUCUUCACCAACAGCCGGGAGCGAUGGCGGCAGCAGAAUGUGAAUGGGGCGUUCGCUGAGCUCCGCAAGCUGAUCCCCACACAUCCCCCAGACAAGAAGCUCAGCAAGAAUGAGAUCCUCCGCCUGGCCAUGAAGUACAUCAAUUUCCUGGCCAAGCUGCUGAACGACCAGGAGGAGGAGGGCACCCAGCGGGCCAAGCCUGGCAAGGACGCCGUGGUGGGGGCUGGGGGAGGGGGGGGAGGGGGAGGGGGAGGUGCGCCUCCAGAUGACCUCCUGCAGGACGUGCUUUCCCCGAACUCUAGUUGUGGCAGCUCCCUGGACGGGGCAGCCAGCCCAGACAGCUACACCGAAGAGCCGGCACCCAAGCACACGGCCCGCAGCCUCCAUCCCGCCAUGCUGCCUGCCACCGAUGGAGCCGGCCCCCGGUGAUGGUCUGGGGCCAACCCAGGACCAGCCGGAAGGGGGCCCUCAGGCUGCUGGGACCGUGGGCUUCAGGGCACGUGGGGUGAGGAUUGGGCGGCUCUGAAGCAGGGCGUGGACUUCAUGAGCUUUCCUUGAUGUCUGAACUUUCCUUGAUGUCUGAGUGCCCCUGGGGCUGGCUUUCCCGGUUCCUGCCUCAGUAGGAGGACCGAAAAAUGAAGCAAAGUGGCCCCUGUCAGUCCAUCCAGCUUGCCCGCUGCUGCAGAGAGCCACGAGCCUCGAGGUGCCUUCUUCAGGGCCUGGUUGAAGAAGACGCCCCGUGGACAGCCUGAUCUCGACUAGCUGGGCCGGAGGGUCAGAAAACCCAGGAGCCCUUCCUUCUCAUGCGGGGGAUCGAAGCUCUGCUUUCUCCCUGCUCAGACUUGCCUUCCUCAUCCUUGUGGCUCUGCGGACCGGGUCUGCCGCUGUGAGCCUGCCUUGUGGGCUUUGUGCGAAGGCAGAAAAAGGAGACAUGAUGAGAGUGAAAUCGAGUAAGAGCUGUUUGGGGCACGUGGGCUUCAAAUCGUGGUGAUGUCUCAGAGCCACCUGCUUGCGUUCUCAGUGACACUCUGCGGUGGGUGCGGGGGGCAGAGACCGGGAUGCUGGGGAGGGUGCUGGUGCAGAGAGUAGAUGUGCAGCUCUGUUGCAUGUUCUCCUGGGUGCUCAGAGGGACCCUCCUGUGGCAGGAUGUCUGUUUGCUGGUGGUCUGGUCUGUAUUCUGAGACCAAAUUGAGAGCAGAGCCCGUCCUGUGAAUUCCUGGUAUUGGGGAUUGUGCUUGACUUCAGUUAUCUGCAGGAUCUCUAGGUCUUGAUAGGACCCAGGAUCUAGCCUGGUGCCCAGGGCCUGGGGAAUCAGGGGAGACCAGGCCUUGGCCGAGACCCAGGCACACAUAUACACACAUGUUCACUUCGGCGUCCCUGGAUGGUGCAAAUUUCAGUCAUCAAGGGUGUGUCUGGGAGGCUGGCUUAACCCAACACGAGCGCUCCCUGCCAAAAGUUGUACAUGACAUUUUUGUAAAUCAAAUCCUCAUCGUUCAUCUUUUAAAGAAAAACUACCACAAGUCCUUCGGUAAAGUGGAAAAUCCUUUUGUGGAAUGGCCCCCCGCCCCCUCAUUGAACUCGUGUGUCCGUCCAGAUGGUGGGAGGUGGUUUGCAAGGCAAGGCCUGCCUGUGACCCACAUCUCGAGCCCGUGGAACAAACCACGCACAAGCCCUGUACACCUGUCACUGUGCCCUCAGGGCACCCCAGCCAGCCCUGACCAGGCUCUGCUUUGAGGUCGGAGGGAAGAUGAUGCGUUGGCUCUGCCCUGUCCACAGCGGUGUGGGCUUCAGCCUGGUGGCUUGCCCUCGCCAUGGCAGGGCCUGGGGGACAGCUGCAUGCACACGGGGAAUGAGCUCUGCCCCCCUCCCCUUCCUUUCAGGUUGUGCGGUCCAGCUCGUAGGGGUGGGAGCAAUGGGGUUAAUGCUGGCAGCGCUCUGUCCCAUUUCACCCCCCACUCGUACUUGGUUGACCAUGAAGACUGCUUCCUUUCUGAUACUUGGAAGCUCCUGUGAGGAGCCCCAUCUGACAGAGCACCUGUGCCAGGUGCUAAGGCCGUGUUUGCUUCCUGGGGGCUCAGGGUGACAUGGAGUGAAAAGUGGCCACCGUGUGCCUGGGAGGAUGGGCUUUAGGAGAUGGGUCCCCCAUUCUAUCAGGAACUCAAGCUUCUGGCUCUCUCUUUUCUUAGACUUGCAGUGCAACCUGCAAGAGUUCUCUCUCUGAAUGUUGGUGUCUCAUAAAUACCCUGGCUCAGCCCGUCUCCCCGGGCCGUGGUGUGGACGGAGUGGAAUCAUGCACGUAGAAGCAUUUCGAGAGUGUGAGGCACUCCGUUGCCCUCAGUAUCAUUCCUGCAGUGGGGUUUCCCACCCUGAGUCCAGGACCCAGGCGGUGGGCCAGGUUGCCUGACUGCCCAGCAUUUGGGUCAUGCAGGUUCUAAACCACAGAAGCGCGCGUCAACUAGACUCUCCUCAUUUCUCCAGAUGGACCUCAUUUCUGUUUUAUUCCAAGGCAAAGGCACAGGAGGGAGAUGAGAGACAGGAUAUGGGAACGUGGGCAGAAUCGGUAUAAAGUGUCACAGCUCCCCACGACCGGCCCGGGUAGGGAUGGGCCACGUUUCAUGUCUUUGUUAAGAACUCGAGAUAGAGCCACAAUUUUGAUUUUCGCUUCCAACCCCCCGCCCCCCAGCACACCCUUCUCUUUCCUUUGGCUCCUCUUCAUCCGUGGAUAUUCUUCAUCCGAGAAGAAUAUCUGUUUGAAAUGGGGAAAAAAUGUAAAGGUAAAAAGUCACGAGGCGCCAAGGGUGAUCGCAAGUGACCGGAAGUAAUCACACCUUUUAAGAAAAACUCAUGUGCUUUUCUUCGUAGUGGCAAACGACGAGAUGGUACAACCUCUAUCCCUUUCCGAAAGCAAAACAGAGGGCACAGCAUCUGUAGUCAGCCGACAGCUGGCUGGGCCUUUGGGGGUGGUCUCAUCGUACUUGUGAUUUCAGUGGUACGUGGCCCCCGCCGAAGGCUGGCCCCCACCCCCCCACCCCGUUCGGCCGUGUACAUAGCGCACUGUUCCUGCGGGCGGGCCCGGCACUUUCCGUCAAUGUUGUACUGUACGUGAUGCAUUGCGUUGGUCUCUGCAUUUUUCUGCAGAAGAGGAGUAACCGCUCCGGGUACCUUGACCUUUGUGUAGCCCAGAGGCCAACACUGUGGGCGUGUGACUCUUUAGCAACAAAACCCAUGUGGUGAUGACGUGUGUGUAUAUAUAAGGAUAUAUGGGGAAGAUUUCUAAAUAAAAGUUUUACAAAGGG